CCCUUAGAUGUUCGGGGCUGCACACGCGCUACACUGGAGGAAACAGCGUGUAUUGACCUGGUCCGAAAGGACUGGGUAAACCUGUGAAACUUCUCCGUGCUUGGGAUAGCGGAUUGCAAUUGUUUCGCUUCAACGAGGAAUUCCUAGUAAGCGUAAGUCAUAAGCUUGCGCUGAUUACGUCCCUGCCCUUUGUACACACCACCCGUCGCUACUACCGAUUGGAUGGUUUAGUGAGAUCCUCGGAUUGGUCCCGGAGCGGCCUCUGGUCGUGCCGGAGUGCCGAAAAGAAUGUCGAACUUGAUCAUCUAGAGGAAGUAAAAGUCGUAACA
rnacentral:rRNA from 1 species